rnacentral:rRNA from 1 species
UACGUAGGGUGCGAGCGUUGUCCGGAAUUAUUGGGCGUAAAGAGCUCGUAGGCGGUCUGUCGCGUCGGAUGUGAAAACCCAGGGCUCAACCCUGGGCCUGCAUUCGAUACGGGCAGACUAGAGUUCGGUAGGGGAGACUGGAAUUCCUGGUGUAGCGGUGAAAUGCGCAGAUAUCAGGAGGAACACCGGUGGCGAAGGCGGGUCUCUGGGCCGAUACUGACGCUGAGGAGCGAAAGCGUGGGGAGCGAACAGG